GAUGAACGCUGGCGGCGUGCCUAAUACAUGCAAGUCGAGCGAAGCGGGGACGGAUGAGUAACACGUGGAUAACCUCCUAUAAGACUGGGAUAACUUCGGGAAACCGGAGCUAAACCGGAUCCUUAUAGAUGGACCCGCGCUGCAUUAGCUAGAGGGUAAGGUAACGGCUGACCAAGGCAACGAUGCAUAGCCGACCUGAGAGGGUGAUCGGCCACACUGGAACUUAGACACGGUCCAGACUCCCACGUGAGGCAGCAGGAGAGACUCUUCCGCAAUGGGCGAAAUCCUGACGGAGCACCGCCGCGUGAGUGAUGAAGGUCUUCGGAGCGUAAAACUCUGUUAUUAGGGAAGCGUUACCUAAUCAGAACGCCACGGCUAACUACGUGCCAGCAGACGCGGUAAUUC
rnacentral:rRNA from 1 species